AUUGAACGCUGGCGGCAGGCCUAACACAUGCAAGUCGAGCGAGCGGCGGACGGGUGAGUAAUGUCUGGGAAACUGCCUGAUGGAGGGGGAUAACUACUGGAAACGGUAGCUAAUACCGCAUACCAUCAGAUGUGCCCAGGUGGGAUUGGCUAGUAGGUGGGGUAACGGCUAACCUAGGCGAUGAUCCCUAGCUGGACUGAGAGGUUGACCAGCAACACUGGAACGGAGACACGGCCCAGACUCCGACGGGAGGCAGCAGGGGGGAAUAUUGCACAAUGGGCGCAAGCCUGAUGCAGCCAUGCCGCGGGUGGGAAGAAGGCCUUCGGGUGGUAAAGCACUUUCAGCGGGGAGGCGUUACCCGCAGAAGAAGCACCGGCUAACUCCGUGCCAGCAGCCGCGGUAAUAC
rnacentral:rRNA from 1 species